rnacentral:rRNA from 1 species
UACGUAGGGUGCAAGCGUUAAUCGGAAUUAUUGGGCGUAAAGGGCUCGUAGGCGGUUUGUUAAGUCCGUUGUGAAAGCCCUGGGCUCAACCUGGGAAUUGCAGUGGAUACUGGCGAGCUAGAGUGCGGUAGAGGAUGGUGGAAUUCCCGGUGUAGCGGUGAAAUGCGCAGAUAUCAGGAAGAACACCUAUGGCGAAGGCAGCUCUCUGGGACGGUACUGACGCUGAGACGCGAAAGCGUGGGGAGCGAACAGG